AAAGUGGAGCGUAAAAUCACAGUCCGGUUGGUAGUCCGGAUGCAUGCUGCAGAUUUAAGCCUGAUUAAAUCUGUUAACAUGUCGUAGCCUUCCCCCUCGGGAUGUCCGGCGCUCUGUUUACUUAA
rfam:Paenibacillus sp. HGF7 contig00156, whole genome shotgun sequence.